GAGUUUGAUUCUGGCUCAGAACGAACGCUGGCGGCGCGUCUUAAGCAUGCAAGUCGAACGGUAAGGGAGAGCUUGCUCUCCCCUAGAGUGGCGGACUGGUGAGUAACGCGUGGGUGACCUGCCCUGAAGAUGGGGAUAGCUAGUAGAAAUAUUAGAUAAUACCGAAUGUGCUCAUUUACAUAAAGGUAAAUGAGGAAAGGAGCUACGGCUCCGCUUCAGGAUGGGCCCGCGUCCCAUUAGCUAGUUGGUGAGGUAAAGGCCCACCAAGGCAACGAUGGGUAUCCGGCCUGAGAGGGUGAACGGACACAUUGGGACUGAGAUACGGCCCAAACUCCUACGGGAGGCAGCAGCUAAGAAUCUUCCGCAAUGGACGAAAGUCUGACGGAGCGACGCCGUGUGAAUGAAGAAGGCCGAAAGGUUGUAAAAUUCUUUUGCAGAUGAAGAAUAAACACAGGAGGGAAUGCCUGUGAGAUGACGGUAGUCAUGCGAAUAAGCCCCG
rnacentral:rRNA from 1 species